rnacentral:misc_RNA from 2 species
AACGCACAUUGCGCCCCUUGGUAUUCCAUGGGGCAUGCCUGUUCGAGCGUCAUUUGUACCUUCAAGCUCUGCUUGGUGUUGGGUGUUUGUCUCGCCUCUGCGUGUAGACUCGCCUUAAAACAAUUGGCAGCCGGCGUAUUGAUUUCGGAGCGCAGUACAUCUCGCGCUUUGCACUCACAACGACGACGUCCAAAAGUACAUUUUUACACUCUUGACCUCGGAUCAGGUAGGGAUACCCGCUGAACUUAA